rnacentral:misc_RNA from 1 species
GCGGACUACUGGGGUAUCUAAUCCUGUUUGCUCCCCACGCUUUCGCACCUCAGCGUCAGUAUUGGCCCAGGAAGUCGCCUUCGCCACUGGUGUUCCUUCCGAUAUCUACGCAUUUCACCGCUACACCGGAAAUUCCACUUCCCUCUACCAUACUCUAGCCAUGCAGUAUCGAAUGCAAUUCCCAGGUUGAGCCCAGGGCUUUCACAUCCGACUUACAAAGCCGCCUACGCGCGCUUUACGCCCAGUAAUUCCGAUUAACGCUCGCUCCCUCCGUAUUACCGCGGCUGCUGGCACGGAGUUAGCCGGAGCUUCUUCUGUAGGUUACGUCAAGACUCAAGGGUAUUAACCUUAAGCUUUUCUUCUCUACUGAAAGUGCUUUACAACCCGCAGGCCUUCUUCA